rnacentral:lncRNA from 1 species
GAUGCAAACAAUUCAAGUCAUCAUACUACAUCACAACAUCGUGAUCAAUUCAUCAAACAGUUUCAAUGCACAAAAUUAUACCACCAAAUUUUACUAAUCACAAGAGAAACUGCACACCAAUUUCGAAACCAAUCACCGCUGCAUCAAUACCAGCAACAUCAAGGGAAACACCAGAAUUUAUUAAAAAAAAUUGAAUGAAUCUAAUUUUUUUUUUAAAUUCAAUUAGGCAAAUAAACCUCCACUACACACAUGCAUACUCCAGCUGCUGCCAAAAUUUAAACCACAGAGGAAUUUAAGCAAACAACUUAUCUGCAGUUCUUGUUUACGUAGCAAAACCAAAAUUCUCACUAAACAAUACGAACUCCAGCUUCAAUUGAUUUUGGUUCUGCACUCCAAACUGCUCUGUUCAACGCAGAUGCUGAUAUGAACGAUCGUGUGUAGAAGCGUCUAGGUCUUCUCGUAAGAGAUUUCGAAGAACGAUUAGGCUUUGGACAAAGGGAACCUUUAGGUGGCUUCCGAUUAUACCAAGAACAAGAACAAUGAUAGAGAAUUGAGAAAAGGAAACAAACUGCAUAUAUUAUUCAUAUAUCAAAUAAUAGUUCAAUACUUUAUUUAUAGAGUACUAAAUAUCAUAAAAUCCCAAUAAAAUCCUAAUAAAAUCCUAAUAAAAUCCUAACUAAUUAAAUAAAUGAUAAAAUCCUAAUAAAAUCCUAAUAAAAUAAAUAAAUGAUAAAAUUCUAACUAAUUAAAUCUUAACAACCCAAUAAUAAUAUUAAUCAAAUCCCAAAACUUUAGCGUAUAACAGAUGCCAAAUUUCAUUCUAAUUCUAGAAAUCAUUUGAAUGAAACACGCACCGAUUCAAAAUGAACAAAUUGCAACCCACAGUUCACCUAUUCUCCGAUUAAUCUUCUCCAAAAUCGCUCCACAAUACGAAGAACAAUGAACGCAAAAGGUAGAACCAAAAAUCUUCGGAAUCGGAAGUGAAAGCAGAAGAAGAACUUACAUGAAUCAAUUCAUUCUUCACUACUUUAAUUCUUCGAUUUUCAAUUCACCAGACCAACUCGAUCGUGAUUCAAACAGAUUUCUCCGGUCGUCUUCUCCGUUCACCGAUUUCACUGGAAAACGCCACUGUCGUUUGCGAUUCCUUCGUUCAC